GUUAGGAAUAUUUGACAAUGGGCGAAAGCCUGAUCCAGCCAUGCCGCGUGAACGAUGAAGGCCUUCGGGUUGUAAAGUUCUUUAGCCGAUGAUUAUAAUGACUGUAGUCGGAAAAUAAGCCCCGGCUAACUUCGCGCCAGCAGCCGCGGUAAUACGAAGGGGGCGAGCGUUAUUCGGAAUCACUGGGCGUAAAGCGUGCGUAGGCGGUUUUGUAAGUUAGGAGUGAAAGCCCAGGGCUCAACCUUAGAAUUGCUCAUAGAACUGCCAGGCUAGAAUCUCGGAGAGGAUGGCGGAAUAUCCAGUGUGGCAGUGAAAUGCGUAGAUAUUGGAAGGAACACCAGUGGCGUAAGCGGCUAUCUGGACGAGUAUUGACGCUGAGGCACGAAAGCGGGGGGAUCAAACAGAAUUAAAAACCCGAGUAGUCC
rnacentral:rRNA from 1 species